GUUAUCUGUAGCCUCCAGUACCUCCUCAUUUCACUAGAGAAACCAUAAUAAGGUGGCAGUUGGCUGGAGAAGAUCACUAGAUAACAACCUACUUGCUCUUGGCUAUAUCGCCAGCAUGUUUCUG